CACUGAAUGCACUUUUAUGGCUUUGGAUAAGUGAAACCCGGUGCGAAUCCGGUGCUGUCCCGCAACUGUGAAGCCAAAUGUUUGGUGAAGCCAGAUCCUUGUCAAAGCAAUCUAC
rnacentral:ncRNA from 1 species